UUAAGGUCCAUUUUUCAUUGUUAACAAGUUUAUUUAGAGUUUUAACGGAUUAGAACGGAGAAAAUAGCAUUAUAAACUCAUUUGUUGUUUUGUUAGGAUUUAUGGAUUAAGGGGAUGUUUUAGGUGGAUUAAAUGGAUGGAAUUAGCUGAGUUAUGAUGUAUAAUAGUUGUUGAUAUUGUUGUUGAUGUUGUUGAUAAGUUAUUGUUCUUGAAUCUGGGAGAAUAAAGUGUAUAAAGAUAUUGUAUACAAAGCGUAUACCGGGCUGUUUUGUGCCGAUAUUUUGGGCUGUUUUGUGUAAUUUUUGUGGAUGUUUUGUGAAAAUAUUUUGGGACCGUUUUAUGUAAUUUUCGUGGUUGUUUUGUGACAAUCUUUUGGGACUGUUUUAUGUAAUUUUCGUGGCUAUUUUGUGACUAUAUUUUGGAGCUGUUUGGUAUAAUAUUUGUGGCUGUUUUACGAUGAUAUUUUGGGGACUAUUUUAUGGUCAUUAUGGACUAUUUUUUGGGCUAGAAUAUCGGGGGAUUGGCUGUAGUUGUUGCUGUUAUAUUAUGGAUAUACGGAAAUAAAGAAGUGUAUACAAGCAUUGGCAUCCGAAUGUAUAUUGGGCUAUUUUGGGAGUAAUUUAAGAAUGGAUUUAAUUCUAGUUUGAUAUGAAGUUGUUGGUAUUGUUGUUGUUGGUAUUUUUAUUGAUGUUUGGCUAAGUUGGAAUUUUGAGGAUUGUUAAGUUUACAGGGGAAAUGCUGCCCGAAUUUUGUUAAGUUUCAUUCGUACUUGGAUUGGUUAGUAAGUGAUGUGGAUAAUCUAACUGUGGCCUAUGUUAUCUUAAUUUUAGACCUGCGAGCUCGAGAAGUAGACGUUGGACAUUAGAUAGAGUUCAAGGUGAGGCAGGAUAUCAAUGAAUGUUCCAUAAUGACAUCGGAAGCCACCGACCUUACGUCACUCCGAUAUAGUUAUGGCUUUUGAUUGGGCUCUUAUGCAUGCUUUAUAUAUAUGUAUGUAUUUUCUCACACCACGCCGCGGUAUAGUCGGCCGGGCAGGCACGUAGAUGUGCACACCACUAUAGUGGGCAGCUUAUACCCCGGACGCGGGAGGCCUGGACGCAGGCUAUGAUUAUCACACCGCUCCUACAUGGACGGGCAGCUUAUACAUUAUCACACCUUACCUAUAUGGACGGGCAGCUUAUAUAUGUAUACAUACGUGACAUGAUAAUGAUUAUGAGUAAGUCAGCAUGCAUUAUUUCAGUUAUAUUUGAUAGCUAGUACAGAUUGCUCUUUCUUGAUGCCUCCUUAUCUCAUUGAUGCCUUCAUAUUUCAUUGAUAUAUUGUUACUGUUUAUGCCUCUCAUACUCAGUACAAUAUUCGUACUGACGUCCGUUUUCUUCGGACGCUGUGUUCAUGCCCACAGGUAGACAGAGAGGUGAGCUUGAUCCAGAUUCUUAGUAGCUGUCAGCUGAUUGAGAGCACUCCAUUGUUCGGAGGUGCUUAUGUUUAUUCUUUUUGUUCUUUUAUGUAUUUCGCGCACGACGGAGUCUUAUUCCGUCUAUAUGUAUAAUAUGUCAGUAGAGGCUCGUAGACGCGCAGUGUGGGUUAGAUGGUCUUACAAGAUUACUAUGUUAUAUUUGUAUAUGUUAUUUUGAUGGCCUAAGGGGCACAUGUAUAUAAAAUCAUUUGUAUUGUCAAAUGAAAAAUGGUUGUCUUAUGAUUA